UAGGAGCUAUAAAUGUAUCUGUCUUGUUC
rnacentral:piRNA from 1 species